GACGAACGCUGGCGGCGUGCCUAACGCAUGCAAGUCAACUUGACUGAAGGAGCAAUCUGACAGUAGAGUGGCGCAAGGGUGCGUAACGCGUAAGUAACUUGCCCCAAGGUAAGGAAUAACGUCGAGAAAUCGGCGCUAAUACCUCAUAAUGCAGCGGAUCCGCAUGGAUAUGUUGUUAAAGGUUUACCGCCUUGGGAUAGGCUUGCGUCUGAUUAGCUAGUUGGUGUGGUAACGGCACACCAAGGCUACGAUCAGUAACUGGUCUGAGAGGAUGAUCAGUCACACUGGAACUGAGACACGGUCCAGACUCCUACGGGAGGCAGCAGUGAGGAAUAAUUGGGCAAUGCUCGAAAGAGUGACCCAGCAACGCCGCGUGGAGGAUGAAGGUAUUCUAUAUCGUAAACUCCUGUGAGAGCAGACGAAAGACAGAUUAUUAAUCUGGAUGACUGUAUGCUCAGAGGAAGCCCGG
rnacentral:rRNA from 1 species